rnacentral:rRNA from 1 species
UUAAGCGACUAAGCGUACACGGUGGAUGCCCUGGCAGUCAGAGGCGAUGAAGGACGUGCUAAUCUGCGAAAAGCGUCGGUAAGGUGAUAUGAACCGUUAUAGCCGGCGAUGUCCGAAUGGGGAAACCCAGUGCAAUUCGUUGCACUAUCGUUAACUGAAUACAUAGGUUAACGAGGCGAACCGGGGGAACUGAAACAUCUAAGUACCCCGAGGAAAAGAAAUCAACCGAGAUUCCCCCAGUAGCGGCGAGCGAACGGGGAGCAGCCCAGAGUCUGAAUCAGCUUGUGUGUUAGUGGAACGGUCUGGAAAGUCCGACGGUACAGGGUGAUAGUCCCGUACACCAAAAUGCACAGGUUGUGAACUCGAAGAGUAGGGCGGGACACGUGGUAUCCUGUCUGAAUAUGGGGGGACCAUCCUCCAAGGCUAAAUACUCCUGACUGACCGAUAGUGAACCAGUACCGUGAGGGAAAGGCGAAAAGAACCCCGGCGAGGGGAGUGAAAAAGAACCUGAAACCGUGUACGUACAAGCAGUGGGAGCACCUUCGGGUGUGACUGCGUACCUUUUGUAUAAUGGGUCAGCGACUUAUAUUCUGUAGCAAGGUUAACCGUAUAGGGGAGCCGCAGGGAAACCGAGUCUUAACUGGGCGUUAAGUUGCAGGGUAUAGACCCGAAACCCGGUGAUCUAGCCAUGGGCAGGUUGAAGGUUGGGUAACACUAACUGGAGGACCGAACCGACUAAUGUUGAAAAAUUAGCGGAUGACUUGUGGCUGGGGGUGAAAGGCCAAUCAAACCGGGAGAUAGCUGGUUCUCCCCGAAAGCUAUUUAGGUAGCGCCUCGUGAAUUCAUCUUCGGGGGUAGAGCACUGUUUCGGCUAGGGGGUCAUCCCGACUUACCAACCCGAUGCAAACUACGAAUACCGAAGAAUGUUAUCACGGGAGACACACGGCGGGUGCUAACGUCCGUCGUGAAGAGGGAAACAACCCAGACCGCCAGCUAAGGUCCCAAAGUCAUGGUUAAGUGGGAAACGAUGUGGGAAGGCACAGACAGCCAGGAUGUUGGCUUAGAAGCAGCCAUCAUUUAAAGAAAGCGUAAUAGCUCACUGGUCGAGUCGGCCUGCGCGGAAGAUGUAACGGGGCUAAACCAUGCACCGAAGCUGCGGCAGCGACACGAUGUGUUGUUGGGUAGGGGAGCGUUCUGUAAGCCUGCGAAGGUGUGCUGUGAGGCAUGCUGGAGGUAUCAGAAGUGCGAAUGCUGACAUAAGUAACGAUAAAGCGGGUGAAAAGCCCGCUCGCCGGAAGACCAAGGGUUCCUGUCCAACGUUAAUCGGGGCAGGGUGAGUCGACCCCUAAGGCGAGGCCGAAAGGCGUAGUCGAUGGGAAACAGGUUAAUAUUCCUGUACUUGGUGUUACUGCGAAGGGGGGACGGAGAAGGCUAUGUUAGCCGGGCGACGGUUGUCCCGGUUUAAGCAUGUAGGCUGGUUAUCCAGGCAAAUCCGGAUAAUCAAGGCUGAGGUGUGAUGACGAGGCACUACGGUGCUGAAGUAACAAAUGCCCUGCUUCCAGGAAAAGCCUCUAAGCAUCAGGUAACAUCAAAUCGUACCCCAAACCGACACAGGUGGUCAGGUAGAGAAUACCAAGGCGCUUGAGAGAACUCGGGUGAAGGAACUAGGCAAAAUGGUGCCGUAACUUCGGGAGAAGGCACGCUGGUGUGUAGGUGAAGUCCCUGCGGAUGGAGCUGAGACCAGUCGAAGAUACCAGCUGGCUGCAACUGUUUAUUAAAAACACAGCACUGUGCAAACACGAAAGUGGACGUAUACGGUGUGACGCCUGCCCGGUGCCGGAAGGUUAAUUGAUGGGGUUAUCCGUAAGGAGAAGCUCUUGAUCGAAGCCCCGGUAAACGGCGGCCGUAACUAUAACGGUCCUAAGGUAGCGAAAUUCCUUGUCGGGUAAGUUCCGACCUGCACGAAUGGCGUAAUGAUGGCCAGGCUGUCUCCACCCGAGACUCAGUGAAAUUGAACUCGCUGUGAAGAUGCAGUGUACCCGCGGCAAGACGGAAAGACCCCGUGAACCUUUACUAUAGCUUGACACUGAACAUUGAGCCUUGAUGUGUAGGAUAGGUGGGAGGCUUUGAAGCGUGGACGCCAGUCUGCGUGGAGCCAACCUUGAAAUACCACCCUUUAAUGUUUGAUGUUCUAACGUUGGCCCCUGACCGGGGUUGCGGACAGUGUCUGGUGGGUAGUUUGACUGGGGCGGUCUCCUCCCAAAGCGUAACGGAGGAGCACGAAGGUUAGCUAAUCCUGGUCGGACAUCAGGAGGUUAGUGCAAUGGCAUAAGCUAGCUUGACUGCGAGCGUGACGGCGCGAGCAGGUGCGAAAGCAGGUCAUAGUGAUCCGGUGGUUCUGAAUGGAAGGGCCAUCGCUCAACGGAUAAAAGGUACUCCGGGGAUAACAGGCUGAUACCGCCCAAGAGUUCAUAUCGACGGCGGUGUUUGGCACCUCGAUGUCGGCUCAUCACAUCCUGGGGCUGAAGUAGGUCCCAAGGGUAUGGCUGUUCGCCAUUUAAAGUGGUACGCGAGCUGGGUUUAGAACGUCGUGAGACAGUUCGGUCCCUAUCUGCCGUGGGCGCUGGAGAAUUGAGGGGGGCUGCUCCUAGUACGAGAGGACCGGAGUGGACGCAUCACUGGUGUUCGGGUUGUCAUGCCAAUGGCACUGCCCGGUAGCUAAAUGCGGAAGAGAUAAGUGCUGAAAGCAUCUAAGCACGAAACUUGCCCCGAGAUGAGUUCUCCCUGAGACUUUAAGUCUCCUGAAGGAACGUUGAAGACGACGACGUUGAUAGGCCGGGUGUGUAAGCGCAGCGAUGCGUUGAGCUAACCGGUACUAAUGAACCGUGAGGCUUAACCU